GGAGUGCUGCGCGGUGCGUGGGCCGCAAGAACCCUGGGGCCAAUGCUCUCCUCUAGGGAGCUGUUCCUGGUCUUGACCCUGGUCUUGAUCACACGGCGCCCACCUGCGUUUGCAGGCCACAGAGGUUAAGCCGGGCUUUCACGGCCAUCGUGGCGCCGCC
rnacentral:other from 1 species